AUUGAACGCUGGCGGCAGGCCUAACACAUGCAAGUCGAACGGUAACAGAAAGCAGCUUGCUGCUUUGCUGACGAGUGGCGAACGGGUGAGUAAUGUCUGGGAAACUGCCUGAUGGAGGGGGAUAACUACUGGAAACGGUAGCUAAUACCGCAUAACGUCGCAAGACCAAAGAGGGGGACCUUCGGGCCUCUUGCCAUCGGAUGUGCCCAGAUGGGAUUAGCUUGUUGGUGGGGUAACGGCUCACCAAGGCGACGAUCCCUAGCUGGUCUGAGAGGAUGACCAGCCACACUGGAACUGAGACACGGUCCAGACUCCUACGGGAGGCAGCAGUGGGGAAUAUUGCACAAUGGGCGCAAGCCUGAUGCAGCCAUGCCGCGUGUAUGAAGAAGGCCUUCGGGUUGUAAAGUACUUUCAGCGGGGAGGAAGGGAGUAAAGUUAAUACCUUUGCUCAUUGACGUUACCCGCAGAAGAAGCACCGGCUAACUCCGUG
rnacentral:rRNA from 1 species